CCAAGGGGAAGCCAGCAGGUCAAUGCAACCCGGGGCAGUCACUUUCUCCGUUUGCCCCGAGAAGUGUUAGGUCCCGGGAACUACGCUUCCCGGCAGGCUGCGCGCCGCAAAGUGACGCACUUCCUCCAGACGCACUUCAGUCUUUCGGCGCCGCCAACCGUUAGGAGAUCGCACCUCUAUCCGCUUGUGACCUGCAUCGCCGCUGCUGACUCAGUCGACGCUGCCUCGCGGAUAGUGUCAGCUGAGUUGCAGAUGUGGGCGCCGCGGGAGCAUCGCCUAGGCUCGGCUGCAGACGAUAAAGAAGAUUCUAAUGGUUUUAGAAGGCAUUUUAUAUUUGCAAUUUUGACGGAUACUGAACUGCUAUGAAGAUGGUAGUUUGUUCCCACCAAUUAUUAAAAAGCUGUGGCUCUACUUUGUGUCCUUUUAGUCCACGACCAAGGGUGAAAAGCAGACCCUAUGUGGG